rnacentral:rRNA from 1 species
UACGUAGGGUGCGAGCGUUAAUCGGAAUUACUGGGCGUAAAGCGUGCGCAGGCGGCGCUGUAAGACAGAUGUGAAAUCCCCGGGCUCAACCUGGGAACUGCAUUUGUGACUGCAGUGCUAGAGUGUGUCAGAGGGGGGUGGAAUUCCACGUGUAGCAGUGAAAUGCGUAGAGAUGUGGAGGAACACCGAUGGCGAAGGCAGCCCCCUGGGAUAACACUGACGCUCAGGCACGAAAGCGUGGGGAGCAAAC